rnacentral:rRNA from 1 species
GAUGAACGCUGGCGGCGUGCCUAAUACAUGCAAGUCGAGCGAACAGACGAGGAGCUUGCUCCUCUGACGUUAGCGGCGGACGGGUGAGUAACACGUGGAUAACCUACCUAUAAGACUGGGAUAACUUCGGGAAACCGGAGCUAAUACCGGAUAAUAUAUUGAACCGCAUGGUUCAAUAGUGAAAGACGGUUUUGCUGUCACUUAUAGAUGGAUCCGCGCCGCAUUAGCUAGUUGGUAAGGUAACGGCUUACCAAGGCAACGAUGCGUAGCCGACCUGAGAGGGUGAUAGGCCAAACUGGAACUGAGACACGGUCAAGACUCCUAAGGGAGGCAGCAGUAGGGAAUGUUACGCAAUGGGCGAAAGCAUGACGGAGCAACGCCGAGUGAGUGAUGAAGGUCUUCGGAUCGUAAAACUCUGUUAUUAGGGAAGAACAAAUGUGUAAGUAACUAUGCACGUCUUGACGGUACCUAAUCAGAAAGCCACGGCUAACUACGUG